AUGAAUGCGGUGGUGUCGCAGGUGAACUCUCUGCCGCUUCUCAGCCUGAUGGUGGCGCUCAUAUUUAGCUGCUUUCACCAUCACCACUGCCUUCAAAGACGGAAGCAUCCUGGUGUGGUGGCAAUGACUCGCCGAUCAAGCUGAAAAACGUAGAUGACUUCAACGGACCGAGAGAAAGAAGUGAUUUGGGAUUCAUUACAUUUGAUUUAAUUGUGAGAAUACAUUUGAUUGGAAUGUUAAGCAGUUGUUUAUUUAUCAGCAGAAUAUUCAACAAAAGAUAAGCUCUAAACCAAGUUGGCCUUGAGGACGAGAUUGUUCUGAGAGGUAUUAAUCUGAAGCUACUCUUGAAAUAUAUGAAAACAAAUUUUUUUUUGACAAUGAAAAUGGUUGCAAGAGGAAAGUCACUUUGACUCUAUCUGGGAACCGUGUACCAGUUGCUGGAACGCUGCCUCGGGACAGGAUGAGAACAGGUAUCUAUUCCAUUUCCAGAUACAUGUGAAAUAAUAAAGAGAAUAUUAAAUUAUUCUAAGUUUGAAACGA
rnacentral:lncRNA from 1 species